AUGUGCCUCAUGAAGUCAGGGUUAAACAGAUGGCUGACUUGGGGAGGAUUCUGGCCAACAUGCACGCAUUUCAGUCUCUGUCCACCAGAGGGUGCAGCUUCCUACCACAGUCGCAUUUCCUUUGUGAAAUGUGGGCUUCCACGGAUCAUUUCUCUGUCACUCCAACCUUUCUUCAUGGUAAGAAUGAGGAACAUUUUUUUAGGUGACGUUCCAGAGAUGAAGUGUUCUCCAGGCUUCGUGACUGUGGUAGUCCUAAUGCUUGGACAAACACAUGGAGACUCAGUGACUCAGACAGAAGGCCAAGUGACCCUCUCAGAAGAGACUUCCCUGACUAUAAACUGUACCUAUUCAGCAACUGGGUAUCCAAAUCUCUUCUGGUAUGUCCAGUAUCCAGGAGAAGGUCUAGAGCUCCUCCUGAAAGCCUUGAGGGACAAGGAGAAGGGAAGCAACAAAGGAUUUGAAGCCACCUACAACAAAGAUUCCAAAUCCUUCCACUUGGAGAAAGACUCAGUGCAAGCCUCAGAUGCAGCUGUGUACUACUGUGCCAUGAGAGGGGGAGAACUGCACGAUUCAAUGCAUCUAUUCAGUGACCCCCUUUAG